rnacentral:lncRNA from 1 species
CUCCCUCGAGUGACUUUAAGCCUUUAGAGCCCUUAUCUGUUAAGAAAAAAAGAAAAAAAUGUGGGUUUUUCGUAAUCCUCGUAAUCCGCGCCCUGUCUACUUCUCUGGGGUUAUUGUGAAGAUCAAAUAAGGGUCUUACUCUGUCUCCCAAGCUAGAAUGUGGCGACACAAUCACAGCUCGCUGAAGCCUCAACCUCCCAGACUCAGGUACUGUGAAAUUGUGCAGGACAUUCACAGAUGAACAAGUCACAGGGCAAGUUGGACACAUCAAUAGCUCAUGCGUUGAUGUGGACCUAUGAUGGCUUCAGAGACUAUUAACUUGGCCAGGCUCAACUGCAUUUCCUGGAAUUAUCUUUCCUGCAUGUUUGCAGUUCAGAUGGACCACAGGGAAGAUUCUUGGAAGGUUCUUGCAAGAUUCAGAAGGCAAGAGAGGCUGCAGCCGUGUUUUGCAGUUGACACACGUUGCUGCUGAUCUGCUGACUCACCUCACUGGAGUGAAGCAGCCUGCCACAACACCCGCAACCUUCCCCGGCAACUUCUUGCUACUUUUCGACUCCCAGCCGCGUGUAUGUGUUCAGCUCUGUGAUGAAGGGCUAGGCUUCUGCAGGACAGCCUCACCACUGUGGUCAGAGGCAACAAGAAUAGCCACGGGCUUCAGGCUGCCAUCCUGGGGCUCUAGCUUGUGCUCGUGGGUUCUUGCUCUCCCUACUUGACAUCUGCCUUUCCUCUCGACUGCCUAUCCUGUGGACCUGACACCAGCAUCAGACUUGACACGCAGCCUGACAAAGACUGCUUACCCGGUUCCCACAAAUGCAUAAGCCAAUUCUCCAUAACAAAUCCCAUAAAAUAAUUUACAUGUAUAUAACUCCUAUUUCCACUUUUCCAGUUGAACUCCGGCAGAUUUACCCAUCCUGUGCUAGGCACUGUUGAGGACUCUGAGGAUACAAUGAUGAACAAAACCAGUGUAAUUCCUGUCUUCCUCUCCCCCACCCCACCAUUCACUUUCUAGGAGGAGGAAUCAGAAAAUAAACAACGAAUAAACAAUGCAAUCCCAGAGAGUGAUAAAUGCCAGGAGAAAACCAAAAAGAGUGGCCUGCUCGGACCAGGGGUAGUCCAGGGAUGCUUCUCAGAACAAAUGGCAUUUGAGCUGAGCCCUGAAGGGAAGGAGGGGACAGCUAUGCAGGAGCACUCUGGACAAGACGCACUUCAGGGCGAUGCUCCUAGGUGGCAUGAGCCUGGAGUCUUCGAGGAACAGAAAGGAGCCAGGCGGACCGGAGGGCCUUGAGGAGGGAGAGUGCGCAGGGUAAGCUGGAACCCAAGGCUGGCUCCAACUUUGUUGGGCUUGGAAGACAAAGCAGGGAGUUCGGAUUUUACUCUAAGAGCAUCCUGGAGUUAAGGGAUCUUUCAAAGCUGGCUGAGUGAAAGCCCACACACAACUUUGCCUUUGAAAAGUGGGGAUAAAAUGUGGUCUUGCUCUGUGUGUGUGUGUGUGCGUUGGGGUGGGGGGCGAUUUGUGUCUUGGUUUUUGCCUCGGCGUGACUUACAGACCUUUCCAUCCUGCAUCGGUGCCGGGAGAGCCCAGCUCCCUGCUGCUGUCACCAGAAUUCCAUCUUUCCAAGGAAAUCAGGCUUUCUCCUGCUAAGGAGUUCUGUCCAGGACUCUGAUAAAAGCAGUAUGUGAAGCUAAAUAACUCGUGUGAUUUUACACUUCAUUUCCUUGGGAUGCCAUUAGGAACAUCAAGCACUUCUGUCUUUAUUUGACACGAUUUCCUACCCUGUUCUGCCUUGGAACAGAAGAAAAAUGAAAAGAGAGAAAUGGUAUUGGGAAGUUGCAUUGGGAGUGGUAGGGCAGCUGUUUCAAGGCAGGGCUUUUGGAGUCCAGCAGAGGGAGAGGCUUCCGAAACAGGACAGAUGGCAGCCACCUUCCUAAGGGGUCACUGGUCAGCCUCACGUUCUCUGGCUCCUGUUCCAAGCCUCAGCAUUUCUGUCUAAUUGAUUUAGAAAUAGUGUAUUUAUUGGACAGAUGCCUAGAGAUCAUGUAGCCCAGAGAAGGGAAGCUGUUUGCCCAAGGUCACACAGCAGCUCAGUAGCAUAGUUUGGCCUUGCAGCUAGCUCUUUCGACUGCCAGAGCAGCCUGGAGCACCCCUUAGAGAAGAGUUAGUGUCUUCCCCAGGUCCCCUAUAAAGACCAGCACCUCCUGCAUUUGGUUCUCUGGGACAAUUGGUGUCUUUUCUCACUGUGGAGAUGUGAUCACUUAGAUCUUCAUUUAGUUCACAAGCAGGGGUGGAGCAGGGUGGGGUGCACAGGCUGGAGGGAACCAACGCAGGAAGCAUAUGACAGAGUAAAAACACAGCCCACCCGGCAUGCCGUGCCAUGUGCCCUCACUGCAUUGGAUGAAUGGGUCAGUAGGUGGAUGGUGGUCACACGUGAGUGCUGGCUUCACUCUCUUCUCUCCCAUAAUUUAAAGACCUGAAGUUUCACCUCCAGGAAGACUUCCUGGACUAGUGGAAGAUCAAUCUUUGGCCUGAACCGGUUGCCUAGGCAACUUCCACUGUUUCUGGACUCAUGAGUCCUUCUAGUAAGGGUCCCAGGACUGAGCCUCAAUGGCCUGAAGAGAGUCAUGUGCCCACACCUGUGACUACUUAGUGGCUAUCACCAGGGGUGUGAGGCUCAUCUGGUCUAGCCUGGUCACCUGCUCACGACAGAGCUAGAGCUGGACCAGGCCCUCCAGAUUUGUAGACUGAAGCAGCAAGGUGCUGUUCUGAGGAAAAUCAGGGUGCUGUUACCAGAACACCCUGGCAAGCAAGAAAGAGCAGCGAGCCCUACAGACGGCAAACAAGGAUUUCCUUAUCUCCUGGUCGGAACCACUAAGAACCGUGGAACCAUGUGUACUUAAUUCAUGUCUGUACUGUCCUCACGCGGAGUGAGGGCUUUGUAAAUAUUUGCUGAGUGAAUGAAAGAAUAAAUGAAUAGUAAAUGAA